AUGGCUGGCUCAACGCCUUUUCUCCUGCAAUGCUCAUCGACAGAGUCAGAACUGCCUGUCCCAGGCGUGUGCGGUAGACUGUUUGACAUUGGUCGGCCCAGGCCUCGGCAUUUGUCUAUGGCAAGGUGUGCUUUCCGGGAUACUUUGAUGCUUUGUGAUUUAGUGGACCUGGGUUUUUCAGGUGUGCCCUAUACCUACGACAAUAUGAGGUCUGGUGCAACAAAUGUGCGCGUCCGUUUAGAUCGAGCGGUGGCUACAAAUUCUUGGCGGAACUUGUUCGCUUUUUACAGUGUGCGGCACCUUGCAUCUCCAUGUUCUGAUCACGUGUCAUUAUUGCUCAAGGGUGCCUCGGACCAGGAACAACGUAAAGUGCAUCCACGCAGGUAUGAGAUAUUUUGGAAAAGAGACGCCGGGUUACCAGAAUUAGUCUGCAAGGCUUGGGAGGCCUAUGGUGCGAUGGAUGAUCUAGGCCAUGUCAAUAAAGUUUUGAGAGAGACUAUGGUGUCCCUUUGGAAGUGGAGCAGUAAAAAGUUCGGUAAUAUCACAAGGGACAUUAAUAAAACAAGAACCCGGCUAGAGGAACUAAUGAAUAUGAAUGCAGAUAGUGCAGAAAUCCGAGAGGUUUCGGAUAAACUCAAUGAAUUACUGUACAAGGAGGAGAUGAUUUGGUUACAACGAUCGAGGAUCACUUGGUUGAAAGAAGGUGAUAGAAACACGAAGUUCUUCCAGAGUAAGGCGGUUUGGAGAGCAAGAAAAAAUAAAAUCACAGAGAUACAUGAUGCUAAUGGUACUGUACACAAAGAUGCUCAAGCCAUGGGUGAUGUAGUCUCGUCUUAUUUUCAUGACAUCUUUGCUGCUGACCCAACCCUUGAUGCCACGGAGAUUUUGGAUCUUUUUAAUUCAGUUGUUUCAGAUGGCGAUAAUGUUAAACUUUGUAGCGAAUUUUCGGAUGCUCUUUUUCAAAUUGGGCCUUUGAAAGCCCCUGGGCCAGAUGGUUUUCCAGCAAGAUUCUUUCAGAGGAAUUGGGAUGUGGUGAAGACUAAUAUAAUUAAAGCAGUGAAGGAGUUUUUUAGAACGGGUAUUAUGUCGGAUGGUGUCAAUGAGACAUCUAUCAUUCUUAUUCCAAAAAUUGCGAAUCCAGUCAAGGUCUCCGAUUUCCGGCCUAUUAGCCUAUGCAAUGUUAUUUACAAGGUUGUUUCCAAAUGUUUGGUUAAUAGACUGCGUCCUCUCUUGGACGAUAUAAUUUCUCCUGAGCAGAGUGCCUUCAUAUCUGGUAGGAUGAUAACUGACAAUGCCCUGAUUGCAUUUGAGUGCAUCCACCAUAUUAAACAGGAGAAGGAUCCUACUAAGGGAUUUUGUGCUUACAAAGUGGAUCUAUCAAAGGCAUAUGAUCGGGUUGAUUCAAAUUUCUUGAGGCAAGUGAUGCAAAAGAUGGGUGUUACGGCAUAUCUCUCUCAAGUAGUUUUGGUGAUUGAUGACGACAUGUUUGCGGACUAA
rnacentral:rRNA from 1 species